UCGGAUGUGGUGCAUGGUGCACGUCCUCCUCUUCUAAAUAUCAGGUGAAGAAGUCUGUGGGAAGCCUGGGUUCGAUCCCCAGCGUCCGAA